rnacentral:tRNA from 1 species
GCCUUCGUGAUGUAGUGGUCAGCACGCACGACGCGUAACCGAGAGGUCCAUGGUUCGAUUCCCGGCGAAGGCG